rnacentral:rRNA from 1 species
CCUACGGGGGGCUGCAGUGAGGAAUAUUGGUCAAUGGACGAGAGUCUGAACCAGCCAAGUAGCGUGAAGGAUGACUGCCCUAUGGGUUGUAAACUUCUUUUAUAUGGGAAUAAAAUGUUCCACGUGUGGGAUUUUGUAUGUACCAUAUGAAUAAGGAUCGGCUAACUCCGUGCCAGCAGCCGCGGUAAUACGGAGGAUCCGAGCGUUAUCCGGAUUUAUUGGGUGUCAAGGGAGCGUAGGUGGAUUGUUAAGUCAGUUGUGAAAGUUUGCGGCUCAACCGUAAAAUUGAAGUUGAAACUGGCGGUCUAGAGUACAGGAGAGGUGGGCGGAAUUCGUGGUGUAGCGGUGAAAUGAGUAGAUAUCAGGAGGAACACCGGUGGCGAAGGAAGC